UACGAAGGGGGCUAGCGUUGUUCGGAAUUACUGGGCGUAAAGCGCACGUAGGCGGAUACUUAAGUCAGGGGUGAAAUCCCGGGGCUCAACCCCGGAACUGCCUUUGAUACUGGGUAUCUCGAGUCCGGAAGAGGUGAGUGGAAUUCCGAGUGUAGAGGUGAAAUUCGUAGAUAUUCGCAAGAACACCAGUGGCGAAGGCGGCCAACUGGUCCGGUACUGACGCUGAGGUGCGAAAGCGUGGGGAGCAAACAGG
rnacentral:rRNA from 1 species